ACGCCGUUGGUGAAAUGGUUAUCAUGCUUGCCUUCCAAGCAAGCGGCGGGGGUUCGAUUCCCCCACGGCGUA
rnacentral:tRNA from 2 species